rnacentral:rRNA from 1 species
AAGCACCUUACCGGAUUCUUCGGAUGAAAGUUUGGUGACUGAGUGGCGGACGGGUGAGUAACGCGUGGGUAACCUGCCCUGUACAGGGGGAUAACAGCUGGAAACGGCUGCUAAUACCGCAUAAGCGCACGAGGAGACAUCUCCUAGCGUGAAAAACUCCGGUGGUACAGGAUGGGCCCGCGUCCGAUUAGCUGGUUGGCAGGGUAACGGCCUACCAAGGCAACGAUCAGUAGCCGGUCUGAGAGGAAGGUCCCCCACAUUGGAACUGAGACACGGUCCAGACUCC